rnacentral:rRNA from 1 species
AGUGAACGCUGGCGGCAGGCCUAACACAUGCAAGUCGAACGAGUGGCGGACGGGUGAGGAAUACAUCGGAAUCUACUCUGUCGUGGGGGCUAACGUAGGGAAACUUACGCUAAUCCCGCAUACGAUUGAAUGAGCCGCUUGCGGAUUAGCUAGUUGGCGGGGUAAAGGCCCACCAAGGCGACGAUCCGUAGCUGGUCUGAGAGGAUGACCAGGCACACUGGAACUGAGACACGGGCCAGACUCCUACGAGAGGAAGAAGGGGGGAAUAUUGGACAAUGGGCGCAAGCCUGAUCCAGCCAUACCGUGUGGGUGAAGAAGGCCUUCGGGUUGUAAAGCACUUUUGUUGGGAAAGCGGUACCCAAAGAAUAAGCACCGGCUAACUUCGUGCCAGCAGCCGCGGUAAUAC